AUCAACCUAUCUGUCGUUACCCAAUCUAAUGGCAUUACGUUCAUUGAACGGAUUUCCAUAUUUACUGUAUUUGAAAUCAGCAAAAGACUCUUUAUCACCAAGGUGGGUGGGUCCACCAAGAAUAUCCGUAUCCAGGAGAAUAUCGUGAAGUUAUCGUAAUUUGAAAAUGUUAAAGCUAUCCUGGUUUCUAAUGUAAAUCAUGCCCAAGCAUGAUUUUCUUUGAAGUCUGAAGCAUAAACAAUUUGAAGACGUGAUUGUUAUAUAACAGUAGUUUUGAUCUGUAGCUAAUGUAAGCAAAUUCAUAAAAAGGUAUAAGAACUUGAAUUUUGCAAUGCAUAAUUAUGGCAUGCUUGCUUUAGAAGUUCAAAAACGUUUUUUCUUUUCUUUAUAGUACUUCUACAUUCAUAUGUUUUAAUUAUAAACUCAAUUACACAACACAGGAAGAUUGAACGCGGUUCAGAAUUUUGUUUUUCUGCUACAACUGUCACAUAUGAAAAUAAAUGAAGAUUCCAUCGUACACCAUAUUAACCACCAAUAAAAAACUAUGUAAUGUUAUUUAAUAAGCUAUAAACAUAAAAAAAUUGGAUGUCUGAACUAAUUUGAAUAUAUUGUCGUCUAUCAAACAA